rnacentral:pre_miRNA from 1 species
UUCACUAGUUGUACGAAAGUCGUAUACAGCAGUUGUAUGUAUAGUAAUGUCCUUUAUUUGUUGACACCCGUGAACUUUUAAAUAUGGUCAAAAUAACCCCUAGUCUGCUUUAUUUUGAGAGAUGGUUUUGCGCAUACCUGUCCGAUUGAUUCAAAGUUCAAGGGUGUCAACAAAUGAAGGAAAUUACUAUACAUACAACUGUUGUUUACGACUUUCGUACAACUAGUGCU